rnacentral:lncRNA from 1 species
AUCGUUCGUUUAAAUAAGUACUAAGCACAACCAGAGGUAAAAUUUAAACUUCACUAAGUAAACAUUCAAAAGAUGCCAUUUUCGCAUGGCUUAUAUACAUUAACCAAAGAUAUUCUUCCGCCACUAGUCUAUUCUAUACAUGCCAUAAGAUAAUCCAAAACGUAGCAGUACCAAACAAUGGAUAGUGAUAGUGUGACUAGUUGCUGAUGAUCCCCGAGCUUGUAGCUUCCAAAUGAGAUCUAUAAAACAGAGCAAACAGAGUAAACGGAGUAAGCAUUACAAUGCUUAGUAAGUUUUAAGCAGUGUCAACAGAUAACAAUCAAAUUAUAACAUAGUUGUUCGUAUAGUUUAUUUCACUCUUCCUUCGGGCAUACCAUCCCUUUUUCCGAAUAUGCACAUCUCAUCAUAUACAAUAGGCAGAUAAACUUUCAUAUAAAAGUGAGCUCAUGUGACAUAGAUAUAUCGUAUGAUUUCACAUAACCUCUCACACUGAUCCGAUGUCACAUAAUCAUAGGAAUAGUCUCAUAGAUUGCUCUCUAUGCAUCACAUAACUACCUUAUGAUUUAGUGCAAAUCAAGCUCACAUAUAAACUUGGAGUACAUACUUGUUUAACCUUUCGCAUUGAAUAUAUUUAUAAGCAAUUCUUAUUACGAAGUCUUACCCGGACAUAAUCUCCACACGAAAUUAUCGGGUCUUACCCGGACAAAAUCCCCACACGUAGUCAUCGGGUCUUUAGAGCUCAGAUAUAGUACGAGCACGAAGCUUACGGACAUUAAUCAGUGAUAAUAUUCUCGCAUAAAGCCUGCGGGGUUUUAACCCGGAUAUAGUGCUGACACAAAUGCCCUUCGGGACGUAUCACAUUUAUACACUUUCACAUCCAUCACGUUGGCCACUCGGCCCUGUCACAUAUAUACACUUUCACAUUCAUCACAUCGGCCAUUAGGCCUUAUCACAUAUAUACACUUUCACAUUCAUCACAUCGGCCAUUAGGCCUUAUCACAUAUAUACACUUUCACAUUCAUCACAUCGGCCAUUAGGCCUUAUCACAUAUAUAUACACUUUCACAUUCAUCACAUCGGCCAUUAGGCCUUAUCACAUAUAUACACUUUCACAUUACCAACCCUUUUAUUCAUACACAAAGAUCAACUUAGCCAAAGGCCGGUAGCUCAUUUAUCAACUGAGCGAAUACUUAUUUGUAAGGGCUCAACUAAUUCAAAGCACAUACGAAACAUACCUCAAUGUUUGGAUGUUUCAAGCGUAUUAACUAAAAUUUUUACAGCAAGAUCAUUCAUUCCCAAAUCACAUACCUUCGGAAUUUAACCGGAUAUAGCUACUCGUUCAAAUGCCUUUGGGACAUAGCCCGGUUAUAGUAACUCGCACAAAUUCCUUCGGGACUUAACCCGGAUUUAGUAACUAGCACAAAUGCCUUCGGGCUUAGCCCGGAAUUAGUAUCUCGCACAAAUGCCUUCGGAUCUUAGUCCGGAUUUAGUAUCUCGCACAAAUGCCUUCGGAUCUUAGUCCGGAUAUGGUCACUUAGCACAAAGCCUUCGGGACUUAGCCCAGACAUCAUUCAAAUAACCAUGCACAUUUAACAAUAAAUCAUGGCACAUUCGUAUUUCAUUUUCGUUAGCAAAACUCAAACACAAGACACUUAUCAUUCUUGCAAUUUCGGCUCAAUAGCCACACACAAAGAGCAUGAUUUUGAUUUGCUUAAAACAUGAUCUAAUCAAAUCAUAAUUUAAGCUCUAUUACUCAAGAACUUACAAUAUCACGAUUUAGAAUUCAAGUAUGGGUUUAAUCAAUAGCUUGUGAGCAACUAAAACAAGUUUAUCAAGGUUCACAACAUAAUCUCAAAUUCAGCACAAGCUGUUUUUCCUGAGCAAUAGUCACUAAAUUAUUUAUAACUAGAGCUAAAAAACUCCAAAUCACUUUCCGUUAAUUUUUCCUGAAUAUAGACUCGUAUAUCUUCCACCCAUAAAAUUUCCAGAAUUUUAGGUUUGGCCAAUCAAUACCAGAUUUUUCUUAAAGUUUCCCCUGUUUCACUGUUUGACUAAUCUAACCACUCUUCACUACGAAUCAAAUUUCUCAUUUUACAGAAUUCAAAAUGUGUUUUAUUUGAUUCCAUUUGAAACUAGACUCAUUAAUGAGUCUAAGCAUAUAAAUUUUAUCUUAUAAACAUUUUUUUACAAUUUAUAAUGAUUUUCUAAAAACAGAACAGGGGAUUUCGGAGUCAUUCUGACACCGUCUCACACAACUUUAAAUAUCUCAUUAUCGGAAAUUCCUUUGCUUACACGGUUUCUUUUAUAAGAAACUAGACUCAUUAAGCUUUAAUUUCAUGUCUCAUUCAGCCUCUAAUUCAAGUCCAUAAAUUUAUGGUGAUUUUCUAAAGUCACGUUACUGCUGCUGUCCGAAGCAGACUAUUUCAAAUUACCCUUAAAUUCCCAAGCUCAAACACUUAAGAACUUACCAUUUGAGCUUAGAACAUAUCAUGGCCACAUCAUAUCUUAUUAAAUCAACUCAUCAUGUCCUAUUAUAAUUGAAUUUACUCAACGUUUAAACACUUAAAACUUACCUUGGAUGUGGUCGAACAAUUUCGGCAGCUAUUCGAUCACUUCUUCCCUUCCCUUAUCCAACUUUGGUCCUCUAAGCUCUUGAGCUUAAUUUAACAAAUAAAUUGAUUUAAUCAUUUGAGCAUCAAAAGAGGAACUCAAGGUACUUAGCCCAUAUAUACAUACAUUAGACAUUAAAGUCACAUACAUAUGAAAUCAUAAAUCAAUUCAACAUAUUAGCCCACACUCUCUUUUAGCCGAUUGUCUAAGCCAAGAUAAAAGCAUCAAUAUGCUUGCCUCUAGCCGAAUACAUGCAACACCAAGCAAGAAUGAUGCAUCCAUGGCCGAGUAUCAUCUUCAUAACUUUACAAAAACAUUUGCCAUGAGCUAGCUUCUAUACUUGGUGGCCACUCCAAAUAUACAAAGAUUUUCAAUGAUAGAGCAUUAACAUACCUUAAUACAUCAAAAUAAUUAAAUUCUUCCCAUGGCACACUAAAACCGAAUAUGUCUUAUUCAAAUAUAAAUUCUCAUAUUUCAUUUAUUUAACCAUUUAACCCUCCUAUCAAAUAAUUUUCACAAACUAAUCUUAAACUCAAAAUCACAUAAAAUCGUAACACAAAAGGCAUUCAUCUAACACUUGAUUUCUAAAUUCUAACAUCAAACUCAAAUUUCUUAGCUCAUCAACUCAUGGCCGAACAUCAAUUAUUCACCAAAACAAAAAUUAACUCAUGGGUUUUAGAGAAAAUUAAGUAAGGAAUUCAAUGAUACUAAAAAUUAACAAAAACAACCUGAAUUUCACCUUGAAUUUUUGCUUCCAAAUGGCCGAAACUUCAAAGCCACAAAUUUUAUUUUCUUUCUCCUUUGUUCGGCCUCCAAGAUGAACUACAUGCAUGUUCUUUUUUUCUUUUUUUUUAUGCCCCAUACCGUCCAUAUCAAUUGUCUAAGGUUAAAUAUCAUCACAAAUACUCCAACUUACAAAAACAACUUCAAUUCGGCCCUGAAGAUACAAACAUGCAUGGCUUUCCAUUUUAUGUUUUAUAAUACUUAUUUUUAUGUUUUAUAAUACUUAUAAAAAUAAUUAUCUCACAAAUAACUUUAAAAUAAACAUAUAAAGACAUCAUGCAUUAAGCCAUUACCAUCCAUAUAUUUAUUAAUGAUAUAAUUGCCAUUCAAAACCUCAAUAUUCUAAAGACAUAACACUUUAACAUUUUCAUGAUAGCAUGCUUAUUAAUCAAUUGAUGCAUUUUAAUCCUUUUUAAUGACAUAAAGAAAGAAAGAAAAAUAUUUACCAAGAGUUUCAAACUACUUGGCCGAAUAUCAAACCUCCAAACAACCAAAAAAUUUAACUCAUGGAAUGGAUAGAAUUUGAACAAAUCACCAAAAUUAUAUAUAAAUUUUCAAGAAUUUCAAAGUACUUACCUCUUUCUAAAUAUUCUCCAAGCCGAAAUCAUACAAAGAAAUUUUUUUCUUCCUUCUAAUCUCAAGUUACGGCAAUGGUAGAGUGAGGAUGAACCAACUUUGUUUUUAUCACCCAUUUCUUUUAAUAUAAGUUCAUAUUUCAUAUUAUUUAUUCAUUUAACAUUUAAUUUAUUAAUAUAAAAGGCAUAUAUUUUGUAUCCCAUGCUCCUUAUUUUAUCAUACUUCCCAUGAAACACUAACUUAACAUGUUUAUGACAUGUUCUUGCCCAUCACACUUGGUCUACCAUACUUGUCAUGGCCGGCCACUACUAAUUAGGGGGGAAAUUGACAUGCAAGUCCCCCCUUUUUAUUUCAUGCACUAAUAGAUCCUUAUGCUUUGACCUAUCACAUUUCAAAAUUUUCUCACAUAAGUCCUAUUUGAUAAAAUUCACUUACUAUUAACAAAAUUCAAACAUGAAAUUUUCACACAUGCAUAUGUACAUAUAAUGAGCAUCAACUAUGACGGUUAAUUAUCUUUAUGACUCGGUUUAGUGGUCCCGAAACCACUUUCCGACUAGGGUCACUUUAGGGGUGUCACAGAUUAUGCUUAUUCCAAAGAUUAUUAAUCCUUCUAAUCUGACUCAUUUUCGGCCAAUUAGUCUCUGUAAUGUUAUUUAUAAACUUGUGGCAAAGGUGAUUGCAAAUAGAUUUAGAGGAGUCAUUGAUAAAUGUAUUGAUGAAGCACAUAAUGCAUUUGUGCUAAGGAAACUCAUAACAGAUAAUGCACUAGUGGCCUAUGAAGUUUUACAUUCAAUGAAACAGAAGAGAGGGGGGAAGAAGGGAUUUAUGGCCAUCAAGUUAGAUAUGAGUAAGGCCUACGACAAAGUAGAAUGGAAUUUUAUUCAAGAAAUUAUGAGUAGAAUGGGUUUUUCUCAAAAAUGGAUUGAAUCUAUUAUGAAAUGUAUCUUUAGUGUUUCUUAUUCAGUAGUGGUUAAUGGUAACAAAAGAGAUAUAUUCUAUCCAACAAGGGGACUUAGACAAGGAGAUCCAUUAAGCCCUUUUUUAUUUCUGAUAUGUGGAGAGGGUCUAUCAGGUCUAAUGCGAAUGGCUAUUAGCGAAGGAGUUAUAAAAGGUGUUAAAGCUAGUAGAAGUGGCCCCAGGGUGUCUCAUUUACUAUUUGCUGAUGACUGCAUAAUGUUUUAAGAAGCAACAAGAAGGGGAGUAAGAGCAAUCAAGCAGAUUUUGCGUGAAUAUAAAAAUAGUUCAGGUCAGUUCGUAAACUUUGAAAAAUCAGCAGUAUUUUUUAGCAACAACAUAUCUGUGGAAGUUAGGCAAAUAGUGAUCACCCAAUUGGGAAUCCACAGCUCCAAUGAAUUAGAAAGGUAUUUAGGACUGCCAAGUUUAGUUGGGAAAAGGAAAAAAGAAUCUUUUCAAGCAUUUAAGGACAAAAUGAAACAGCGGAUUGAUAAUUGGUGUAUGAGAUUACUGUCUCAAGGUGGAAAGGAAAUAUUUAUUAAAUCAGUUUUACAAGUGAUACCGACUUACUCAAUGGCUUAUUUUUUUAUUACUGAAGACAUUAUGUGAUGAAAUGGAAGGCAUUGUAGCCAAGUUUUGGUGGCAAAAGGGACGUGGAAAGAAAGGAAUUCAUUGGUGUUUAUGGAGAAAUAUGUGUUCUUUAAAAGAAGUUGGAGGUAUGGGUUUCCGAAUUUUUUGCCAAUUUAAUGUUGCGUUAUUAGCCAAGCAGGGCUGGAGCCUUAUUAAUAAUCCGAGUUCCUUAUUAGCCAGAGUUUUUAAAGCCAAAUAUUAUCCAUAAUCAAAUUUUUUAAACGCAUAGUUGGGUUAGUUACCUUCAUAUACCUAGAAGAGCAUUUAGGCAGCACGAGGGCUCAUUCAGGAUGGGUUGUGUUGGAAAGUCAGUCGAGGGACCGAGAUUGAUGUCUGGACUGAUUGCUGCAUUCCUGGAUGUGAAGCCAUUGGUAGACAAGGUAGAGAGACAAACAGUGAUGUCCUAUUAGUUUCGGAUUUAAUCAAUAAUACUAGUAGGACUUGGAAGCGAGACCUGAUCAAUAAUACCUUUCAAUCAGGCAUAGCGCAAAAAAUUUUGAAGAUUCCUUUGGCAGAGUCAGAACAUGUUGACUUUCAGGUGUGGAAAGAGGAACCUUCAAGGGAGUUCUCAGUAAGAAGCGCCUAUAAACUAUUACAUCAUUCUAGCUCGAAUCCUAAUAUUUAUCCAUUACAACCCAAAAUAAGAAACUUCUAUAGAAAAUUGUGGGAUUUACAGCUACCGGGUAAAAUAAAGAUACUAGUUUAGCGAAUUUCCUGGAACUACAUCCCUUCCCUAAUAAAUCUAAGAUCCAAGAAAGUAAUAGAGAAUGCUCUGUGCCCUCGGUGCAGACUCAAAGAGGAAGACAGUAACCAUAUCUUUAGAUUUUGUCCUGCAAUCAGUGAAAUAUGGAAUCUCAUUAAUCUCUCUUAGACCAUUGAUCAUGAUAAUCAAAGUUUCUAGAAGUGGCUUAUCUGGGUUUUUGAAAGGAGUACAAUGGAGCAAUGUCGGUCCUUUUGUUGUGCGCUAUGGUGCGUUUGGAGUUCCCGAAAUCAGCUUGUACAUGAAAAGAAAAUCAUACCAGUUAGGGAUUUAGCAAGGAAAGUCAGCAGUUACAUAGCAGAACUGGAAGGGAUCCGAAUGAAAACAUUUACCUCUUCUUCCAAAAGGGACAACAGUUAUACUAGGGCGACGGAGGGUACCACAGUUCAGUUUGAUGCCGUUUUUGACAAAAGAAAUGAUAGAUCUGCCUCAGGUAUAGUCGUUCGAGACUAGACAGGAGCUUUAAAAGCCUCAAAGUCAGUUAUACAUGAGGAUACCCCGACCCCGUUCGCAGCAGAAGCCCUCGCAGGAUUAGAUGCCAUUAAGUUAGUAAUAGAAAUGAGGUUAACAACAGUAACAAUAGAGAGGGACUCGAGAAUAGUCAUUCAAAAAUGUCAAUCGACAGAAAUUGAUAAGUCGGUCCUUGGGGUGAUUAUUUAUGACAUACAGACCAGAAAAUCCAGGGGUUCAAGACGUUACUUUCAAGUUUAUCCAUAGAACGAAUAACAUUCAAGCCCAUAAUCUAGCAAAAAAAGGGUUGGAGAGAAGGGAGGACUCAUACCUGGGAGGGAAGACGACAAUUCAUAGAGUUGCAGACUCAGAGGGAAGAUGGAGAGAAUCGCCAGAUUGAAGAUGAAUGGACAAGGAGUAGGGUGCAGUUAAGGGUAGCAAGGAAUUGAUAUCUUAGGGAACGACUAUCUGCAAAGGCAUGGCUGUUGGGACGUGAAAAGACGAGUAAAGAAUUAAAUGGCCAGGCUGUUAGAUGUGACUGGGAGAUUUUCUGUUGAUUUCCUUUUGUUUUUCUAUUUUUUUAUUCUUUAUUGUCUUUUAUCAUCAUUUCUGAGAAACGGGCUAGCUAUUAAGGAAGCCCAACUUAGUUUGUUUUGUUUGUUUGGCAGUCGGACUUAAGCCCAAAUGUUAAUUUGGGUAUUGGUUUUAUUCUAUUUGUAAAGAGCCC